AGUGUGGCGGUGGACAUGGGCUGUUGAAACCUUCUCAGCCUCUGGUUGAAAAGCCAAAGACACCAGAGCCAGAACAACCCAAACAACCACCACCACAACCUAAGCCACAACCACCAAAACCAUCACCUGAACUAGUUCAAACACCUCAUACACCAAAACCACCCAAGGAGGAGCAACCCAUGGAACAACCUCCCAAGGAAGAGCAACCCAAGGAACAACCUGCCAAAGAGGAGCCACCCCAGGUACAACCUCCUAGAGAUGAGCCACCGAAGGUGAAACCUCCUAAAGAGGAGCUACCAAAGGUGCAACCUCCUAAAGAGGAGUUACCCAAAGAACAACCUCCAAAAGAGGAACUACCACAACCGCCUCAAGUAGAAGCAUAUGCUCCAGAGCCGAUUUUAGAAACCUCAUCAC
rnacentral:lncRNA from 1 species